GUGAAGCGGCAACAGCUCAAAUUUGAAAGCUGGCUCCUUUGGAGUCCGCGUUGUAAUUUGUAGAGGAUGAUUCGGCAAGGGCUCCCGCCUAAGUCUCCUGGAACGGAGCGUCAUAGAGGGUGAGAAUCCCGUAUGCGGUGGGCUGCCUAAGCCAUGUGAAUCUCCUUCGACGAGUCGAGUUGUUUGGGAAUGCAGCUCUAAAUGGGAGGUAAAUUUCUUCUAAAGCUAAAUACCGGCCAGAGACCGAUAGCGCACAAGUAGAGUGAUCGAAAGAUGAAAAGCACUUUGGAAAGAGAGUUAAAAAGUACGUGAAAUUGUUGAAAGGGAAGCGCUUGCAGCCAGACUUGUCCGCAGUUGCUCAGCCGGUCUCCUGACCGGUGUACUCUUCUGCGGCCAGGCCAGCAUCAGUUCGGGCGGUCGGAUAAAGACCUCGGGAAUGUAGCUCCUCUCGGGGAGUGUUAUAGCCCGGGGUGGAAUGCGGCCAGCCUGGACUGAGGAUCUCGCUUCGGCUAGGAUGCUGGCGUAAUGGCUGUAAGCGGCCCGUCUUGAAACACGGACC
rnacentral:rRNA from 1 species